AGGGACUACUGCAGUUUCCGUCAACCAAGUUGACACUUCAGGGAUACUUUUGUGACCACCAGGCAUUACAAGGAUCCUCAAAGUUCCCCAGGGAGAAUCCUGUUGAAAAUGAAGCCACUAUCAUGGUUAAGAGGAUUUGAAAUCUAAGAUCAGGAGUGACUGCUUUCGGUGAAUACAAGUUUCUAAGACUAGAAGAUGGACAUUCUAAAGUUCAGAAAAAGUCACUUCUCAAAUCACUAAGUUAUGUUGCUUCCUUCACAAUGUUGACCAAGAAUCCCUUCACCCCUUUUCUUGUUAACAUUGCAGUCAAACAUUGAUUAUCAUGCACUUUAAUAAAAUAAUAGCCAAAUUGUUAUCUCAU
rnacentral:lncRNA from 1 species